GCCAGGCAUGGUGGCUCACGCCUGUAAUCCCAGCAAUUUGGGAGGCUGAGGCGGGUGGAUCACCUGAGGUCAGGAGUUCGAGACCAGCCUGGCCAACAUGGUGAAACCCCGUCUCUA
rnacentral:SRP_RNA from 1 species